rnacentral:sRNA from 1 species
AGACAGUCAGUGCUUGGCCAGACAAAUA